rnacentral:tRNA from 1 species
GGCUCAAUGGUCUAGUGGUAUGAUUCUCGCUUUGGGAUUUCACUCAAAAAUGCGAGAGGCCCCGCGUUCGAAUCGCGGUUGAGCCC